ACCCGCGGUGCAUUAGCUAGUUGGUGAGGUAACGGCUCACCAAGGCCACGAUGCAUAGCCGACCUGAGAGGGUGAUCGGCCACACUGGGACUGAGACACGGCCCAGACUCCUACGGGAGGCAGCAGUAGGGAAUCUUCGGCAAUGGACGAAAGUCUGACCGAGCAACGCCGCGUGAGUGAAGAAGGUUUUCGGAUCGUAAAACUCUGUUGUUAGAGAAGAACAAGGAUGAGAGUAGAACGUUCAUCCCUUGACGGUAUCUAACCAGAAAGCCACGGCUAACUACGUGCCAGCAGCCGCGGUAAUACGUAGGUGGCAAGCGUUGUCCGGAUUUAUUGGGCGUAAAGCGAGCGCAGGCGGUUUCUUAAGUCUGAUGUGAAAGCCCCCGGCUCAACCGGGGAGGGUCAUUGGAAACUGGGAGACUUGAGUGCAGAAGAGGAGAGUGGAAUUCCAUGUGUAGCGGUGAAAUGCGUAGAUAUAUGGAGGAACACCAGUGGCGAAGGCGGCUCUCUGGUCUGUAACUGACGCUGAGGCUCGAAAGCGUGGGGAGCGAACAGGAUUAGAUACCCUGGUAGUCCACGCCGUAAACGAU
rnacentral:rRNA from 1 species